rnacentral:rRNA from 1 species
CUACCCCAGGUGGUGGAUAACCUUCCGAAAGGAAGGCUAAUACAGCAUGGGACCACGAUCUCGAAAGGGAUUGAGGUGAAAGUCGGCCUCUUCACGAAAGCCGACGCCAGGGGAUGAGCCUGCGGCCCAUCAGCUAGUUGGUAGGGUAAUGGCCUACCAAGGCGAAGACGGGUAGCUGGUCUGAGAGGAUGAUCAGCCACACUGGAACUGAGACACGGUCCAG